CGCAUCUGUGCAUGCAGCAUAUCAAUAAGCGGAGGAAAAGAAACUAACAAGGAUUCCCUCAGUAACGGCGAGUGAAGCGGGAAGAGCUCAAAUUUGAAAUCUUGAAAGGUCACCUUUCACGAAUUGUAGUUUAAAGAAGUGUUUUCUGUUACGAUCGUAAUAUAAGUUCUUUGGAAUAGGACAUCACAGAGGGUGAGAAUCCCGUCUAUGAUUGCGAUUUGUAGCUUUGUGAUACACUUUCAAAGAGUCGGGUUGUUUGGGAAUGCGGCCCAAAACGGGAGGUAAAUUUCUUCUAAGGCUAAAUAUUGGCGAGAGACCGAUAGCGAACAAGUACCGUGAGGGAAAGAUGAAAAGAACUUUGAAAAGAGAGUUAAAUAGUACGUGAAAUUGUCAAAAGGGAAGCGUUUAACACCAGUGUUGUUUUCUGAAAAUCAACCUCUGUUAGCUUUAUGCAUGUUUGUUUAGACCUAAUCAGCUAUCUUGCAUGUUCUAUUGUUUGCAGUGGUGCACUUUUCAGUUUACAGGUCAACAUCAGUUUUUUUUACCGUAAAAAAGUUAAAGAAAGGUAGCUCAUGGCUCCGGUCGUGAGUGUUAUAGUCUUUUUCCUAUGCGGUAGGAGAGACUGAGGUCUGCAGUGUAGGCUAUUUGGCUAGAUACUCAGGUGCUAUGUGAUACCAUUACAUAAACAACUUGUUGAUUAUGUUUUGUCUAUUGCAUACUCGCUUGUACUAUCAUACCUACGCUUAGGAUGUUGAAGUCAUCGUAUCGCGC
rnacentral:rRNA from 1 species